CCGACCGGCGCACGGGUGAGUAACGCGUAUGCAACUUACCUAUCAGAGGGGGAUAACCCGGCGAAAGUCGGACUAAUACCGCAUGAAGCAGGGGCCCCGCAUGGGGAUAUUUGCUAAAGAUUCAUCGCUGAUAGAUAGGCAUGCGUUCCAUUAGGCAGUUGGCGGGGUAACGGCCCACCAAACCGACGAUGGAUAGGGGUUCUGAGAGGAAGGUCCCCCACAUUGGUACUGAGACACGGCCAA
rnacentral:rRNA from 1 species